CCCAGCAGGAGUUGUAACAGAGUUGCACAACCACUGGUCCUGUCCUGCUGGAAUACCAGGAGACUGGACAGAGAGGAGCAGAGCUGGAGGAAGGAAGACUGGAGAGAAAGAUUUGAAGAGAGAGAGAGAGAGAGAGAGAGAGAGAGAGAGAGAGAGAGAGAGAGAGAGAGAGAGAGAGAGAGAGAGAGAGAGAGAGAGAGAGAGAGAGAGAGAGAGAGAAAAGCCGAGAGGUGGAGGAGAGGCACAGGAAGGAGAGACCCGAGGCGAUUGGACUGGAGCGAGAACGAACAAAGGAGAAGAGGAGGAGGAGAAGAACUGGGGAGAAGAAGAGAGAAGAGGUCUGAGUCAGCCAAUCCCAGCGCCAGCUCCCUCACUAGCACUGACCAAUCGGAAGUCCUCGUUCUGAGUGACAGCUGUCCUGAGCCAACAGGAUGGAGGCUGGGAGCGAGGUGCUCGGCCUUCUGGAGAAGAUCUGGGCCAAGCUGCAGGGCCUCCCCCACGCCAGCUCUAUAGAGAUAGGAGCCUUCUUCAUCGUCCUCCUCUUCAUCAUGGUCAUCCUCCUCAUGAUGGUUAUAACCUGUGUCACCUGUUGCUGCUGUCGCAAGACCCAUCCCAAAGGACCCCACACCUGAGACAUAUUUAGACAGGCAGUCAACAUGGACCUCUAUUAAUCUGUAGAAUAAACACCCAGUCAGAGAGAGCUUAAAUUAGUCAAUGUGUUAAGUUAUAUUGCCGUAGGCCAUCUUUAUAAAGAAGCUAUCUAUACGGACCUACGGUCUACUUGAUGAAGAAAUGAGGACCCACACACAGAAAGGGAGACAGAAACUGCACUACAGAAUGGAAGACACAUUUAGUCAGGCAUUCUGCAUGGACAUCCCAAACAUCUUCAGAGUGGAGAUGAAAGCAGAAUACAGCAUACACACUAAGAGCAUCGUGGACGGUUAUUACUGAGCUAUUCUAUUCAGACCUCUGGACGUCAGAAUCACACACCCUGGCCAGCGCUCCAGGUGUUCAGGAGAGUCCACAUUCCUUGGAGCGCCCCUGAACCAAGGCACCUAGGAG